UACAGAGGGGGCAAGCGUUGUUCGGAAUUACUGGGCGUAAAGGGCGCGUAGGCGGCCUGCUAAGUCAUACGUGAAAUCCCAUGGCUCAACCAUGGAACUGCGUGUGAUACUGGCGGGCUUGAAUUCGGGAGAGGGAUGCGGAAUUCCAGGUGUAGCGGUGAAAUGCGUAGAUAUCUGGAGGAAUACCGGUGGCGAAGGCGGCAUCCUGGACCGAUAUUGACACUGAGGAGCGAAAGCUAGGGGAGCAAACGGG
rnacentral:rRNA from 1 species